rnacentral:rRNA from 1 species
UACGUAGGGCGCAAGCGUUGUCCGGAAUUAUUGGGCGUAAAGAGCUCGUAGGCGGCCUGUUGCGUCCGCUGUGAAAUCCCGGGGCUCAACCCCGGGCGUGCAGUGGAUACGGGCUGGCUGGAGGCAGGCAGGGGAGAACGGAAUUCCUGGUGUAGCGGUGAAAUGCGCAGAUAUCAGGAGGAACACCGGUGGCGAAGGCGGGUCUCUGGGCCGAUAUUGACGCUGAGGAGCGAAAGCGUGGGGAGCGAACAGG